AUUGAACGCUGGCGGCAUGCCUUACACAUGCAAGUCGAACGGUAACAGGUCUUCGGAUGCUGACGGGUGGCGAACGGGUGAGUAAUACAUCGGAACGUGCCCGAGAGUGGGGGAUAACGAGGCGAAAGCUUUGCUAAUACCGCAUACGAUCUCAGGAUGAAAGCAGGGGACCGCAAGGCCUUGCGCUCACGGAGCGGCCGAUGGCAGAUUAGGUAGUUGGUGGGAUAAAAGCUUACCAAGCCGACGAUCUGUAGCUGGUCUGAGAGGACGACCAGCCACACUGGGACUGAGACAAGGCCCGGACUCCUGCGGGAGGCAGCAGUGGGGAAUUUUGGACAAUGGGCGCAAGCCUGAUCCAGCCAUGCCGCGUGCAGGAUGAAGGCCUUCGGGUUGUAAACUGCUUUUGUACGGAACGAAAAGACUCUGGUUAAUACCUGGGGUCCAUGACGGUACCGUAAGAAUAAGCACCGGCUAACUACGUGCCAGCCGCCGCGGUAAAAC
rnacentral:rRNA from 1 species